UUAUACAGUAGAGAUACAUUUGAUCAACUUGGUUUACACAGUCUGUUUCCUGUCUUGUGUUUCAUGUUCCCUAAGCCCUGGCCUAAAACCAACCCCAGACUUCCACUGGCCUUGCGUUGGGAUCAUCACAUUUUAGCAGGUGUGGGAUUUGAGAAGGAGAGAUCAUUUGGUGGUGUGUACAUGGACUGUGAAGGCCACCAGGGAGAGUUGGCAAGGCAUAAUUUACCCCAGCCAACAAGCAUGCCGAGGCAGAUACAUAGCAUUCCCCAAUGAUGACCCAAUACUGCCAACAAAAGCUGCUGUAGCCGUGUCCCAGGGAGGUUGUAAAGACGGAGAAGAGGCUUCUUGGUAGGCCUAUAUACAGCAGGGAUUGUUUGUACCUCUACCUUGGUCUUUCUGCUUCAGUGGAAACAAAAGACUGUUGACAUCAGUAAGUGAAACUGGAGCUUGUUGAGAAUUGUGGGACAUUCAUACUCCGUGAACCUGUUUCGGUAAGUCAAUCCUUCAUGGCCUGUUUAGUAUCAGUUCCCCUC